UAGUCAUAUGCUUGUCUCAAAGAUUAAGCCAUGCAUGUCUAAGUAUAAGUAUAAUACAGCGAAACUGCGAAUGGCUCAUUAAAUCAGUUAUAGUUUACUUGCUCGGUUCAACGUUGGAUAACUGUAGUAAUUCUAGAGCUAAUACAUGAUAAAGCCUUGACUUAGCGGAAGAGGCGCACUUAUUAGUAUCAAACACAGUAGGGGCAACCCUUCAGACGUGAAUAAAAAUAAGCAUAAAGCGGAUCGCAUAGCCUAGCGCUGGCGACCAAGCAAUCAA
rnacentral:rRNA from 1 species